GACAACUUGGUUGACUCCACCUCAGUAGUUUGUGAACUCAUCAGUCAGAAAAAGCAGACAGUGGGUUCGAUCAGUUCACACCAGCUUCAAAUUUUCAAUCCCAUAGUUAAAUUUCCUCAAUAAAUAGGCCAUCUCAUAUCUGGCAUUUGAUGCAUCCAUUCUAAAAUAGAAAUAUUGAGGAACAAGAGCUUGGCAAUCGCUCUGACAUGGCUGCUGCUAGCUGCAUUCCUCGUCACUUGUUCGUGUGCAGCAGCUAGCACAAAACCUGCUGAACGCGUCGUGCAUCCACAAGGGUGCCGGUGCUGCUUGUUUAACUUCUCGAAGCCCCUCAUCACCUGCGCCAGAGUCUGCUGUGGCGAAAGCUGCUGCUAACAUCAAAACCAGCCCAGAAAAGCUACAAAUGAAGAAUGUGUUGCUUAUGAUAUGUAUCUUGAAACUGAAUGUGAUGCAUUGUACUAUAACUUAAGAAUACAGUAUCAAAUUGAAUAAAAAUCUUCAAUAAAUAUAUAUAGUGCUAUAAUAGUACAGAA